AUUGAACGCUGGCGGCAGGCCUAACACAUGCAAGUCGAACGAGUGGCGGACGGGUGAGUAAUGUCUGGGAAACUGCCCGAUGGAGGGGGAUAACUACUGGAAACAGUAGCUAAUACCGCAUACCAUCGGAUGUGCCCAGAUGGGAUUAGCUAGUAGGUGGGGUAACGGCUCACCUAGGCGACGAUCCCUAGCUGGUCUGGGGGGAUGACCGGCAAAACUGGAACGGAGAAACGGUCCAGACUCCUAGGGGGGGCAGCAGGGGGGAUUAUUGCACAAGGGGGGAAAGCCGGAUGCAGCCAGGCCGCGUGUAUGAAGAGGGCUUUGGGGUUGUAAAGUACUUUCAGCGAGGAGGCGUUACUCGCAGAAGAAGCACCGGCUAACUCCGUGCCAGCAGCCGCGGUAUUC
rnacentral:rRNA from 1 species